rnacentral:ncRNA from 4 species
GUAAAAAAUUUAUAAGAAUAUGAUGUUGGUUCAGAUUAAGCGCUAAAUAAGGACAUGACACAUGCGAAUCAUACGUUUAUUAUUGAUAAGAUAAUAAAUAUGUGGUGUAAACGUGAGUAAUUUUAUUAGGAAUUAAUGAACUAUAGAAUAAGCUAAAUACUUAAUAUAUUAUUAUAUAAAAAUAAUUUAUAUAAUAAAAAGGAUAUAUAUAUAAUAUAUAUUUAUCUAUAGUCAAGCCAAUAAUGGUUUAGGUAGUAGGUUUAUUAAGAGUUAAACCUAGCCAACGAUCCAUAAUCGAUAAUGAAAGUUAGAACGAUCACGUUGACUCUGAAAUAUAGUCAAUAUCUAUAAGAUACAGCAGUGAGGAAUAUUGGACAAUGAUCGAAAGAUUGAUCCAGUUACUUAUUAGGAUGAUAUAUAAAAAUAUUUUAUUUUAUUUAGUUCCGGGGCCCGGCCACGGGAGCCGGAACCCCGAAAGGAGAAAUAUUUAAUAUUUAUAAUAAUAAUAAUAAUAAUAUAUAUAUAUAAAUUGAUUAAAAAUAAAAUCCAUAAAUAAUUAAAAUAAUGAUAUUAAUUACCAUAUAUAUUUUUAUAUGGAUAUAUAUAUUAAUAAUAAUAUUAAUUUUAUUAUUAUUAAUAAUAUAUUUUAAUAGUCCUGACUAAUAUUUGUGCCAGCAGUCGCGGUAACACAAAGAGGGCGAGCGUUAAUCAUAAUGGUUUAAAGGAUCCGUAGAAUGAAUUAUAUAUUAUAAUUUAGAGUUAAUAAAAUUAAUUAAAGAAUUAUAAUAGUAAAGAUGAAAUAAUAAUAAUAAUUAUAAGACUAAUAUAUGUGAAAAUAUUAAUUAAAUAUUAACUGACAUUGAGGGAUUAAAACUAGAGUAGCGAAACGGAUUCGAUACCCGUGUAGUUCUAGUAGUAAACUAUGAAUACAAUUAUUUAUAAUAUAUAUUAUAUAUAAAUAAUAAAUGAAAAUGAAAGUAUUCCACCUGAAGAGUACGUUAGCAAUAAUGAAACUCAAAACAAUAGACGGUUACAGACUUAAGCAGUGGAGCAUGUUAUUUAAUUCGAUAAUCCACGACUAACCUUACCAUAUUUUGAAUAUUAUAAUAAUUAUUAUAAUUAUUAUAUUACAGGCGUUACAUUGUUGUCUUUAGUUCGUGCUGCAAAGUUUUAGAUUAAGUUCAUAAACGAACAAAACUCCAUAUAUAUAAUUUUAAUUAUAUAUAAUUUUAUAUUAUUUAUUAAUAUAAAGAAAGGAAUUAAGACAAAUCAUAAUGAUCCUUAUAAUAUGGGUAAUAGACGUGCUAUAAUAAAAUGAUAAUAAAAUUAUAUAAAAUAUAUUUAAUUAUAUUUAAUUAAUAAUAUAAAACAUUUUAAUUUUUAAUAUAUUUUUUUAUUAUAUAUUAAUAUGAAUUAUAAUCUGAAAUUCGAUUAUAUGAAAAAAGAAUUGCUAGUAAUACGUAAAUUAGUAUGUUACGGUGAAUAUUCUAACUGUUUCGCACUAAUCACUCAUCACGCGUUGAAACAUAUUAUUAUCUUAUUAUUUAUAUAAUAUUUUUUAAUAAAUAUUAAUAAUUAUUAAUUUAUAUUUAUUUAUAUCAGAAAUAAUAUGAAUUAAUGCGAAGUUGAAAUACAGUUACCGUAGGGGAACCUGCGGUGGGCUUAUAAAUAUCUUAAAUAUUCUUACA